rnacentral:lncRNA from 1 species
UGUCUGCUCAGAGGCUCAGCCCUGCUCUCCUGAUCUGCCCAAUACAAAGGACGGUUUGGUCGAAUGAUGCCCGACAUGGGAAUGUGACUCAUGAUCCAGUGUUGGGAACAGUGUUCUCCUACACAGAUCCCCAGACUCUCUAAAUAACCUAAUGCAGGGCCGUGAAAUCAGUGAUGGGGGUUUUAUCCAGGAAUCCUCCACCACACCCAGAUGGUCUGUGAGUUUUAAAUGGGAAACAGUCCCAGCUGAACCCCCUAGUCCUGCCUGGCCUAUUCCCCUAGAAGGAUGGUGUUCUAUCCUCUAUUCAGACUUGCCAUCUUAGGAGUCUCUCUGGACCAACUCAUUUAAAAAUGUGGGACUAGAAAUGGAAACAACAAUAAAAAAUCCCUGUUGGUGGCUUGCCCAGGGAUCCUUACCUUUUGGUAGAUUUUGGUUUUCCAGAAGGUUGGUAAAGAUGGAAUCCCCACCAGGAAGCACAGGAACAGAAGAAGCAACCACAACCCACACACGAUGGUGAGGUUAUAGUCACUAUCUAAGAAUGUUGAGCAGAUGCUCAAAAACAACUCAAUAUGGCUAUUCAGAAAUGAGAGAACAUUCCAUUGACUGAACUCCAUUUUCUGAAUCGCAAGGCUGCCUGAGGCAACUGAGCUCUGAGAGUGUCCGCACUUGCCUAUAAUCCCAGGCCUGCAUCACAGAGCACUGAAGAGUCACAAAGGGUUUCAGAGGGUGGGGGAGGGGACAUGAAGAGGGUGUGCCCAUGGCCCCUUCCCCCCACCAGCCCAGCUGAUCUCUCCAUCCAUCCUGGGCCCUCCAGGUCCCUCUGCCCUACCCUGCCAUCCUAUUUUCCAACUCUGUCCGUUCAUCAUAUCAUACAAUUACAUUAAUGGAAUUUUCUGCCUGUUCCACCUGUACUCCAGAUAUUACCUGGGCCCCCUUUAGUGUUUGGAGAGCUUGACUUUGGUUUCACCAAUUCCACUGCCUCGAAAGUCUGAAAUGCUCCCUGGAAUUUUUGCUUGUACCCAGACAUUUACACUCAGAAUCAUAUAUGUCCUCAAAUCCAUCUUUCCUUUAGAAUGUUUUUGCCUUACAUGAACCCUGAUAUAGAACUUAAAGUUCUUUAUUCAUUUGGUUUUGUGAAUGUCGAAUAACAAAUUUUAGUUUUUUGCUUCAGUCAGCCUUUACCGUCUUCAGCCAGUGGGGCUGACUCAAAUAAUUGAAAUGAAUAAUUCAUUAUUCAACAUUCACAAGACUAAAAUCAGUACAGGCACACCUCACUUAUUGAAAGGGAUUUUUUUUGAGAAAUGCAUCAUUAGGCACUUUCACUGUUGUGUGAACAUCACACAGCGUACUUACACAAACCUAAGUGGUAGAGCCUACUACAUACCUAGGCUAUGUGGUGCUACCCGUAUGGGACCACUGUCAUAUAUGUGGUCCAUUAGUGACCGAAACAUCGUUAAUAUUGUUACAUGGUGUGUGACUGUGGUGGAUGACAAUGACAAAACGGAGUACCAUUUUCAAGGCUUCUAAAAUGGAGCUGGGAGGCCAUUAAGGAAGUGGGGCUUAUGCUUGUACACCACAUCCACCACCAGAUGUUAACUGAACUUUUGAGCUUUACCUGACAGCAGAGGUCACAUCUUGAAGUGUUUCCUCAUUCCAAGAAGGGACAGUCUGCCUAGGACCAACUAUGUUCUGUUUAUGCCUCUUAUUUGCUGACUUUACAUGGUGACAGAAGCGGGAUCCCUAGCUACUGACCUUCAAUUCUGGUGCCACUUCACAGACACAAGCAAGGUGCCUGCAAAGAAUCUUUUGUGCUCUGUCGUCUCCUCCUGGUGGCUCUGGUUCCUGGUGGUUUCUCAAGAACUUGCUCCCAGAAAAAACCUGGAUGGAGAACAAAACAGGUAAGUGCCCAAGUGAGAAAUCUACAAAGCUCCUCUCCCCCAAAAUCAUCUCUUCCCCAUCAGUUGUGGGGCCUAACAUUUCACCAAUGGG